CCCUUAGAUGUUCUGGGCCGCACGCGCGCUACACUGAUACGUUCAGCGAGUAUAUAACCUUGAUUGGAAAAUCUGGGUAAUCUUUUGAGUGCGUAUCGUGCUAGGGAUAGAUUAUUGCAAUUAUUAAUCUUGAACGAGGAAUUCCUAGUAAACGCAAGUCAUCAGCUUGCAUUGAUUACGUCCCUGCCCUUUGUACACACCGCCUGUCGCACAAACCGAUUGAAUGAUUCGGUGAAAAUUUUGGACAUCGAGAGUGGUGAUUAAUUUCGCUGCUCUUAAAUGGAAAGAAUUUAAACCUAAUUAUUUAGAGGAUUGUGAAGUCAUAACA
rnacentral:rRNA from 1 species